ACAGCCACCACCUACCCACCCCAAACCAAGGAUGAAAGGAGGAACACACUGUAUAGCGAGAAAAGUGCAGACCAUUGGAUGGGCGUUCAUAUAGAGACCAAUAGUGAAGCGUGCAUCAGCCGCGAGACAAAAUCUAUAUUUGCGAAUAUUAUCAAACAACAUACACAUAGACCUAUUGACGGAUCAUGAUUAUUGACGCAGCUUAAUUAAAGUAUUCUAUAUCGGACCAUGGAAUGUUCUUUGUCACAGACCUCGGGACUAUUGAGGUGCUUCGAUGCAUGAUAUAGUAAUGCUUUCAUGAGUACACUGUUGUGGAUGGGAUUGUGCUGCAAAAAAUUCAAAGCUUAGGCUAUAUAUUUAUGGAUUCGGGUAUUCACACGGCGAGGCCCCUUGGAACCUGCGACAAAUGUGGUUAUGGAUUGUGAAACUUCGAGUAAAGGAUGGUUAUGAAUGCGCGAAUUAAAUAGUGUCGGUACAUUGAAAUAAUAGAACAAUAAUGGAUGAUUUUUGUUACGUGAUAUAUUGCAUAGUGACUAAGCUCGCGCUGUAAUGCGAAGCUUACAUGGGUUUUGAUAUCGGCGCUGACAAUAUAUUUCUGUGUGUCAACGUAAACAUUUGGAUUAUCUUUGGCUGAACAUAACAGUGAGAGUUGUUAACCAAAGACUGGUUAGCUUUACAUGGCUUGUCGUUAUUUGGCGCGGGGGAAUUCAUUAAACAUAAUGCCUUCUCUUCGUUUUGCUAAUCUGAACAUUAAUUUUUAAUCUUAAAAAGAGGAAAAGUAGUGUGUGUGCGUUUGGGUUUUGCGCUCCUCAGGAAUCCUGUGAUUUGUGUGAUUGGCCAACAUCAACAUGCCCACCUCACGCUCGGGCGCCAGCCCCGUGGAAUACUGGGUGGAUGGAUCUCGCAGAGAUGUCUCCAUGGAAGAGUUCUACACCAUGGGUCCUGAACUGGGAAGGGGGGCUACGUCAGUGGUGUUUCGCACUGAGGAGAAGCAGACACAGAAGCCCUAUGCUGCAAAGGUCCUGAAGAAGACUAUUGACAAGAAAAUAGUGCGGACUGAAAUUGGAGUUCUGCUGCGACUUUCCCACCCAAAUAUUAUCCGUCUGAAGGAGAUCUUUGAGACCGAGACAGACAUCGCCCUCAUCUUGGAGCUGGUGACCGGAGGGGAACUCUUUGACAGGAUUGUGGAGAGAGGGUAUUACAGCGAGAGAGAUGCUGCCCACGUCAUCAAGCAGAUUCUGGAGGCAGUGGCGUAUUUACAUGACAAUGGGGUGGUGCACCGUGACCUGAAACCAGAAAACCUUCUGUACGCUGACCUCUCUUUGGACGCCCCGCUUAAGAUUGCUGACUUCGGCCUCUCAAAGAUAAUAGAUGAGCAAGUUACCAUGAAGACGGUGUGUGGCACGCCUGGAUACUGCGCUCCAGAGAUCCUCAGAGGUAAUGCCUAUGGUCCUGAAGUGGACAUGUGGUCUGUGGGAGUGAUCCUGUACAUCUUGUUGUGUGGGUUCGAACCAUUCUUCGAUCCGAGGGGAGACCAGUACAUGUACAGCCGCAUCCUCAACUGCGACUAUGAGUUUGUCUCCCCCUGGUGGGACGAGGUCUCCCUCAACGCGAAGGACUUGGUCAGUAAGCUGAUAGUGCAGGACCCCCACAAGAGGCUGACGGUGAAGGAGGCUCUGGAGCACCCCUGGGUACUGGGCAAGGCUGCCCGUUUCUCCCACAUGGACACGACUCAGAGGAAGCUACAGGAGUUCAACGCCCGGCGCAAACUCAAGGCUAUCAUGAAGGCUGUGGUGGCCACCAGCCGUAUGCACGAGGGCUCCCGGCGGCGCACGGACAGCUGCGAUAUGCCCGGCUCUGACAAGACCACCUCCAGGCAGAGCAGCAUGCAGCAGGACCCUCCCCAGGACUCCCUGGAGGGCCAGGCCUGCCAGGGAACGGACACUUCCCAGACCCAGGAGGACGACCAGUGCCCCCCGCCCCUCCCGCCACGCUGCCCCAUACCCUCCACCACCAACCCUCCUCUACUGGCUGGGGGUCUCUUCCCCUCCCGUCCACCCACCAGGCCCCCGCUAAGGGGAGUUGAUGGGCAGAGACAGAUGUCGGUCAUCCCCAAGACCGCAGUGGUACGGCCUAGGGUGCCCCAGAAGAGCUGCUCCUCGGUGGACUCCACCACCACCAAGCGGGAGCCGUCCUCCCCGGUCUUGACCACUCCCCCGAGCCCCAAAAACCUUGGCAACAGAUUUUCCAUGGGGGUGGAGUCUGGCAGCAAAACGGCACAGUGUCAAUGAGUGAGUGGCAGGUACCAAACAGUACGAGCUCCUCACCUACUGUUGUCCUAAAAUGGCCGACGUCAUUGUGAGAGUCAGACAAGGCCUCUCUGAACAGGACAAGGCCUCUCUGAACAGGACAAGGCCUCUCUGAACAGGACAAGGCCUCUCUGAACAGGACAAGGCCGCUCUGAACAGGACAAGGCCUCUCUGAACAGCACAAGGCCCCUCUGAACAGGACAAGGCCCCUCUGAACAGGACAAGGCCCCUCUGAACAGGACAAGGCCCCUCUGAACAGGACAAGGCCCCUCUGAACAGGACAAGGCCCCUCUGAACUGGACAAGGCCCCUCUGAACUGGACAAGGCCCCUCUGAACUAUUUUACUUCUAAGGCCACAUACUUUGUAUUCUCUGCACCUUUCUACAAUUCAAUGUUUGAAUCUACAGACUUCAUAUGCAAAUCUGUGAAUGCAUACACAUAAUCCUCUCAUUCAGGUAGUAAAGAUAUUGUAUUUGUGAGCUUAUGAAUGUAGUCAAGGUGUAUUGUAAUGUUUAUUUUGAAAUAAUGGUAUUGAUCUAAUAUUUGCACUGUAUACAUUGAUUAAUCUACAUAGAUUACAACAAAAAGCAUUCACACUGCUAAUCGUUUACUAUUUAAGUCAAACUGCACUUUUAUUCCUCUGGAAAUUUACAUGACUGACCAGAAUAGCUUGUUUGUGGCUCAAACCAAUUUUCCCUUCAUUCAUUGGUUGUAAAAAAAUUAUUGGGUAGUUACCCGCACAUCAUAUUCACCUCAUCUCUACGACCUCACUGGAGCUACCACUCUACCUCUGUGUGCAGGGGCUUCCAACCCAGUAAUGGCAAAACCUGUAAAGAAACUGUUGGACGAGGUGAGGUUAUGAGGCAAAGCACAGCAUUUCUGCAACAGAAUCAUAUUGUAAGUGGCCUGCGAGGCGAACCCUCGUUUUCAUUGGCUAAGGGCUUUUCUCAAUGGAACUCAAAUAACUGAUCAAAUGAGUGUCAUUAAAAUAGUCCAUUUCCAUUUCAAGGGCCAAUAUUCACCUGCUAUCUUGUAUUCUCACUCUAACAUUGCCAAAUAGUAAGCCUGCAUUAUACUGCUGACAUGUCCAUACAUGUAUAAACCAUUCAUUUACACCAAUGAAAUGUAUAAAGUAUGGCUAUUUUACUUAGAAUUAUUGCUUACAAAUGCUUUAUUUGGGGGUUGGGAGGGGGGUGUAGUU